GAUGAACGCUGGCGGCGUGCCUAAUACAUGCAAGUCGAGCGAACAGAUGAGGAGCUUGCUCCUCUGACGUUAGCGGCGGACGGGUGAGUAACACGUGGAUAACCUACCUAUAAGACUGGGAUAACUUCGGGAAACCGGAGCUAAUACCGGAUAAUAUAUUGAACCGCAUGGUUCAAUAGUGAAAGACGGUUUUGCUGUCACUUAUAGAUUGAUCCGCGCCGCAUUAGCUAGUUGGUAAGGUAACGGCUUACCAAGGCAACGAUGCGUAGCCGACCUGAGAGGGUGAUCGGCCACACUGGAACUGAGAAAGGGUCCAGACUCCGACGGGGAGCAGCAGUAGGGAAUCUUCCGCAAUGGGCGAAAGCCUGACGGAGCAACGCCGCGGGAGUGAUGAAGGUCUUCGGAUCGUAAAACUCUGUUAUUAGGGAAGAACAAAUGUGUAAGUAACUAUGCACGUCUUGACGGUACCUAAUCAGAAAGCCACGGCUAACUACGUG
rnacentral:rRNA from 1 species